rnacentral:rRNA from 1 species
GAUGAACGCUGGCGGCGUGCCUAAUACAUGCAAGUCGAGCGAACAGACGAGGAGCUUGCUCCUCUGACGUUAGCGGCGGACGGGUGAGUAACACGUGGAUAACCUACCUAUAAGACUGGGAUAACUUCGGGAAACCGGAGAUAAUACCGGAUAAUAUAUUGAACCGCAUGGUUCAAUAGUGAAAGACGGUUUUGCUGUCACUUAUAGCUGGAUCCGCGCCGCAUUAGCUAGUUGGUAAGGUUACGGCCUACCAAGGCAACGAUGCGUAGCCGACCUGAGAGAGUGAUCGGCCACACUGGAACUGGGACACGGUCCAGACUCCUACGGGAGGCAGCAGUAGGGAAUCUUCCGCAAUGGGCGAGAGCCUGACGGAGCAACGCCGCGUGAGUGAUGAAGGUCUUCGGAUCGUAAAACUCUGUUAUUAGGGAAGAACAACUGUGUAAGUAACUAUGCACGUCUUGACGGUACCUAAUCAGAAAGCCACGGCUAACUACGUG